GCCUUGCUAGCUCAAUCGGUAGAGCGUGAGACUUUUAUGAUUAGUCUUCAUAUGAAGACAGUAUUGCUACAUAAUAAAUCUCAAGGUUGCGGGUUCGACCCCCGCGUGAGGCU
rfam:Sphaerobolus stellatus SS14 unplaced genomic scaffold SPHSTscaffold_109, whole genome shotgun sequence.